AACGAACGCUGGCGGCGUGCCUAACACAUGCAAGUCGAGCGCGAAAAGGGCAACCUGAGUAGAGCGGCGCACGGGUGCGUAACACGUGGGUAAUCUGCCUUGGAGUCGAGGAUAACUUUCCGAAAGGUUAGCUAAUACUCGGUAAGCUUACGAUGACUUCGGUCGUUGUGAGAAAAGUAGGCCUCUAUUUAUAAGCUUACGCUUCGAGAUGAGCCCGCGGCCCAUCAGCUAGUUGGCGGUGUAACGGACCACCAAGGCGACGACGGGUAGCUGGUCUGAGAGGACGAUCAGCCACACUGGAACUGAGACACGGUCCAGACUCCUACGGGAGGCAGCAGUGGGGAAUUUUCCACAAUGGGCGAAAGCCUGAUGGAGCAACGCCGCGUGUGUGAUGAAGGUUUUCGGAUCGUAAAGCACUUUCGACCGGGACGAAAAACCUCUGGCUAACAUCCAGGGGCCUGACAGUACCGGGAGAAUAAGCUCCGGCUAACUCCGUGCCAGCAGCCGCGGUAAUACGGAGGGAGCUAGCGUUGUUCGGAAUUACUGGGCGUAAAGCGCACGUAGGCGGUUAUUCAAGUCAGAGGUGAAAGCCCGGGGCUCAACCCCGGAACUGCCUUUGAAACUAGAUGACUAGAAUCUUGGAGAGGUCAGUGGAAUUCCGAGUGUAGAGGUGAAAUUCGUAGAUAUUCGGAAGAACACCAGUGGCGAAGGCGGCGACCUGGGCCAAUACUGACGCUGGGGUGCGAAAGCGUGGGGAGCAAACAGGAUUAGAUACCCUGGUAGUCCACGCCGUAAACGAUGUCAACUAGCCGUUGGGAGCCUUGAGCUCUUAGUGGCGCAGCUAACGCAUUAAGUUGACCGCCUGGGGAGUACGGCCGCAAGGUUA
rnacentral:rRNA from 1 species